rnacentral:rRNA from 1 species
GAUGAACGCUGGCGGCGCGCCUAACACAUGCAAGUCGAACGGCACCCCUCCUCGGAGGGAAGCGAGUGGCGAACGGCUGAGUAACACGUGGAGAACCUGCCCCCUCCCCCGGGAUAGCCGCCCGAAAGGACGGGUAAUACCGGAUACCCCGGGGUGCCGCAUGGCACCCCGGCUAAAGCCCCGACGGGAGGGGAUGGCUCCGCGGCCCAUCAGGUAGACGGCGGGGUGACGGCCCACCGUGCCGACAACGGGUAGCCGGGUUGAGAGACCGACCGGCCAGUUUGGGACUGAGCCACGGCCCAGGCCCCUACGGGAGGGAGCGGGGGGGAAUCUUGGGCAAGGGGGGGACCCCUGACGCGGGGCCGCCGGGGGGGGGACGGGGGCCUUCGGGUCGUAAACCCCUUUCAGCAGGGAAGGGUCAAGCCGGUCCCGGCAAAAGAAACCCCGGCUAACUACGG